GAUGGACGCUAGCGGCAGGCUUAAUACAUGCAAGUCGAGGGACAGCACAGGUAGCAAUACUGGGUGGUAACCGGCAAACGGGUGCGGAACACGUACACAACCUUCCUUUAAGUGGGGGAUAGCCCAGAGAAAUUUGGAUUAAUACCCCGUAAUAUAGUUGAAUGGCAUCAUUUGAUUAUUAUAGCUACGGCGCUUAAUGAUGGGUGUGCGGCUGAUUAGAUAGUUGGCGGGGUAACGGCCCACCAAGUCUACGAUCAGUAGCUGAUGUGAGAGCAUGAUCAGCCACACGGGCACUGAGACACGGGCCCGACUCCUACGGGAGGCAGCAGUAAGGAAUAUUGGUUAAUGGACGCAAGUCUGAACCAGCCAUGCCGCGUGAAGGAUUAAGGUCCUCUGGAUUGUAAACUUCUUUUAUUUGGGACGAAAAAGGGCCUUUCUAGGUCAACUGACGGUACCAGAUGAAUAAGCACCGGCUAACUCCGUGCCAGCAGCCGCAGUAACAC
rnacentral:rRNA from 1 species